ensembl:vault_RNA Vault Vault RNA
GCGCUGGUUUAGCUCAGUGGGUUACUUCCAUUUGGCGUAAAAAUUAUUUCCUGGUCUGCAGGCCGGAGGUACGACCCCGGGCGCUGUCCGGUGCUUUU